CCUACGGGGUGCAGCAGUGGGGAAUAUUGGACAAUGGGCGAGAGCCUGAUCCAGCAAUGCCGCGUGUGUGAAGAAGGUCUUCGGAUUGUAAAGCACUGUCGACGGGGACGAUGAUGACGGUACCCGUAGAAGAAGCCCCGGCUAACUUCGUGCCAGCAGCCGCGGUAAUACGAAGGGGGCUAGCGUUGCUCGGAAUGACUGGGCGUAAAGGGCGCGUAGGCGGUUUAUGCAGUCAGAUGUGAAAUCCCCGGGCUUAACCUGGGAACUGCAUUUGAGACGCAUAGACUAGAGGUCGAGAGAGGGUUGUGGAAUUCCCAGUGUAGAGGUGAAAUUCGUAGAUAUUGGGAAGAACACCGGUGGCGAAGGCGGCAACCUGGCUCGGUGCUGACGCUGAGGCGCGGAAGCGUGGGGAGCAAACAGGAUUAGAUACCCCAGUAGUC
rnacentral:rRNA from 1 species